rnacentral:rRNA from 1 species
UACGUAGGUGGCAAGCGUUGUCCGGAUUUACUGGGCGUAAAGGGAGCGUAGGCGGAUUUUUAAGUGAGAUGUGAAAUACCCGGGCUCAACUUGGGUGCUGCAUUUCAAACUGGAAGUCUAGAGUGCAGGAGAGGAGAAUGGAAUUCCUAGUGUAGCGGUGAAAUGCGUAGAGAUUAGGAAGAACACCAGUGGCGAAGGCGAUUCUCUGGACUGUAACUGACGCUGAGGCUCGAAAGCGUGGGGAGCAAACAGGAUUAGAUACCCCGGUA